UCCUUGGUGGCUCAGAUGGUAAAGAGUCUGCCUGCGAUGCAGGAGACCCAGGCUUGACCCCUGGCAAGGGAA
rnacentral:tRNA from 1 species